AUUGAACGCUGGCGGCAGGCCUAACACACGCAAGUCGAGCGAGCGGCGGUCGGGUGAGUAAUGCCUGGCCAUUGCUCAGUCGAGGGGGAUAACAGAUGGACACGACUGCUACUCCCGCAUACGAUCGGAUUGCCCAGGUGGGAUUAGCUAGUUGGUGAGGUAAUGGCCCACCAAGGCGACGAUCCCUAGCUGGUCUGAGAGGAUGAUCAGCCACACUGGAACUGAGACACGGUCCAGACGACUACGGGAGGCAGCAGUGGGGAAUAUUGCACAAUGGGGGAAAGCCUGAUGCAGCCAUGCCGCGUGUGUGAAGAAGGCCUUCGGGUUGUAAAGCACUUUCAGCGGGGAGGCGUUACACGCAGAAGAAGCACCGGCUAACUCCGUGCCAGCAGCCGCGGUAAUUC
rnacentral:rRNA from 1 species